rnacentral:rRNA from 1 species
GUCCACGCCGUAAACGAUGUCGACUUGGAGGUUGUGCCCUUGAGGCGUGGCUUCCGGAGCUAACGCGUUAAGUCGACCGCCUGGGGAGUACGGCCGCAAGGUUAAAACUCAAAUGAAUUGACGGGGCCCGCACAAGCGGUGGAGCAUGUGGUUUAAUUCGAUGCAACGCGAAGAACCUUACCUGGCCUUGACAUGUUUGGAAUCCUGCAGAGAUGCGGGAGUGCCUUCGGGAAUCAGAACACAGGUGCUGCAUGGCUGUCGU